AACAAACGCUGGCGGCGUGCCUAAUACAUGCAAGUCGAACGGGUAGCAAUAUCAGUGGCGCACGGGUGAGGAAUACAUAGAUAAUCUGCCUUCGAGUCGGGGAUAACCAGUCGAAAGACUGGCUAAUACCGGAUAAGACCACAGGAGCUGAGGCUCUAGGGGUUAAAGGUUUUUCGCUUGAAGAUGAGUCUAUGCGAGAUUAGCUAGUUGGUGAGGUAAUGGCUCACCAAGGCGACGAUCUCUAACUGGUCUUAGAGGAUGAUCAGUCACACUGGAACUGAGACACGGUCCAGACUCCUACGGGAGGCAGCAGUAGGGAAUAUUGCGCAAUGGGGGAAACCCUGACGCAGCGACGCCGCGUGAGUGAUGAAGGCCUUCGGGUCGUAAAGCUCUGUCGUAUGGGAAUAACACAAUGAAUGUACCAUGCAAGAAAGGAUCGGCUAACUUCGUGCCAGCCGCCGCAGUAAAAC
rnacentral:rRNA from 1 species